rnacentral:rRNA from 1 species
AUUGAACGCUGGCGGCAUGCUUUACACAUGCAAGUCGAACGGUAACAGGCCUUCGGGCGCUGACGAGUGGCGAACGGGUGAGUAAUGCAUCGGAACGUGCCCAGUCGUGGGGGAUAACGCAGCGAAAGCUGUGCUAAUACCGCAUACGAUCUAUGGAUGAAAGCGGGGGACCGUAAGGCCUCGCGCGAUUGGAGCGGCCGAUGUCAGAUUAGGUAGUUGGUGGGGUAAAGGCUAACCAAGCCAACGAUCUGUAGCUGGUCUGAGAGGACGACCAGCCCCACUGGAACUGAGAGACGGUCCAGACUCCUACGGGAGGCAGCAGUGGGGAAUUUUGGACAAUGGGCGCAAGCCUGAUCCAGCAAUGCCGCGUGGAGGAAGAAGGCCUUCGGGUUGUAAACUGCUUUUGUACGGAACGAAACGGCGAGCUCUAAUACAGUUUGCUAGUGACGGUACCGUAAGAAUAAGCACCGGCUAACUACGUGCCAGCCGCCGCGGUAACAC